rnacentral:lncRNA from 1 species
GUCAGAGGCCACCAGGCAGCUAUCGUGAGACCAAAGGCAGUAGUCAGCUCAGGCAAGCCGGUUUCCUUAUUUAUGUCAAAUUCCUCAGUCUUGGGUCUCCUUAUCUUUUAAAUAAGGAGUUAGAAUAGAAUUUGAGGGCUGUUCACUCAGGCAUCCAUGGUGGCUGCAGCAUAAGGAGUGUGUGGUGUCAGGAUGGGAAGGGCAACAUGGAGACUGCAUGGCCAUUGACGUCUGAAAGUCUCUGGUUGCCAAAAAGAAUCUAUCUACAACAGCAUUCAUCCUGACAGCAGCCAACAGGCAGCCUAGACCUGGCAUGCCACAGCUCCUCUAGGCUCUGAACCCCUCUCAGCUGAGCCUGGUAGAUGCCAGCUGACCGGCUGCAGCCCCUGAGUAGAGGUUGGCUGUCCUAGCAAUAGAGUAGGGCGGGGGCACAGCAGACAUGGGACCAUCAUCUGGAUUCCUAGACGUGCAACUGCAAGUUUGGGAUGUGAUGGAGAACGAGCUGCACAAGUCUCUGGGCUCCUGUAAAAGAUUGGUUGCAGAAAUGUCCUCAGAGUUGUUGGGAGGAUUCAAUAGAAGAUGCAUGCAAAGCACCUGGCUGAAUGCCCAGAGCCCUGCAGACACUCAGGAAUGAGUAACCAUGCAGAUUUUCUACGCCUUUAGACCAGAUAUUCUAAGAAACUUCCUGCUAUAGAUUAACUAGAUCCUGAUUGUGUUUUUCAUUUCCAGGCUUAGAAGAAAUAAAGGAAAUAUCCCAGGAGCAAAAACAAAACACACACAUGCUCCUCUCAAGAGUCACUGGCAUCCCAGCUGAAAAGUCAGCUCUACACCUAUGGGACCUAUGGGCCUGUUUCUGAGCUCUGUUUUGUCUCUUUGGUCUGAGUGUCUAUCUGAGGCCAAUACCACAGUACCAAAUGCGAUUGCUUUAGAGGAAGUCUUGAAAUCAGAUGAGGCUGAAGGCUGUUGAAUUAUGAGAAAGCGUCAUUUGAAGAGAUGGAUGCCUGUGACCCCGCCAGGCUCUGCAGACCUGGAGGCGGCUCCAGAUCUGGGGUGUGCGGCGCAUUGUGUGUCCAACAGGGAGCAUAACUUUCGCAUCUCAGUCCUUCUCCAUUUCCUGAGGCUUCUUCAGGCUCUGGUGUGUGGUCCACCCUGGAGAAUGUCUCGCUCUCCUCUCGAGAGGAACGUGGCUGCGGCUCUGCGUGGACCGUUUGGCAGAGGCUCAUAUGCUGGAUCCACUGGUUGGUUCACGGGGUUCAUUCCUGUCUGUUGAUCUUCUACCUAGUGGCUCCAUCACUCAUUCAAGCCACCCGAUGUCCCUUUUGAUUAUUGUUUACACGGUUCGUCUUUUUCCACCUUUCCCCGUUGGACUCUGACGCGUCUCUGCUGUGGGAAGCGCAUCGCCGCCCCGGCGUCUCUCUCCGCUGCGGGGAGCCCAUCGCGGCCCCGGCGUCUCUCUCCGCUGCGGGGAGCGCAUCGCGGCCCCGGCGUCUCUCUCCGCUGCGGGGAGCCCAUCGCCGCCCCGGCGUCUCUCUCCGCUGCGGGGAGCCCAUCGCCGCCCCGGCGUCUCUCUCCGCUGCGGGGAGCCCAUCGCGGCCCCGGCGUCUCUCUCCGCUGCGGGGAGCCCAUCGCGGCCCCGGCGUCUCUCUCCGCUGCGGGGAGCCCAUCGCGGCCCCGGCGUCUCUCUCCGCUGCGGGGAGCCCAUCGCCGCCCCGGCGUCUCUCUCCGCUGCGGGGAGCCCAUCGCCGCCCCGGCGUCUCUCUCCGCUGCGGGGAGCCCAUCGCCGCCCCGGCGUCUCUCUCCGCUGCGGGGAGCCCAUCGCCGCCCCGGCGUCUCUCUCCGCUGCGGGGAGCCCAUCGCGGCCCCGGCGUCUCUCUCCGCUGCGGGGAGCCCAUCGCCGCCCCGGCGUCUCUCUCCGCUGCGGGGAGCCCAUCGCCGCCCCGGCGUCUGUCUCCGCUGCGGGGAGCCCAUCGCCGCCCCGGCGUCUGUCUCCGCUGCGGGGAGCCCAUCGCCGCCCCGGCGUCUGUCUCCGCUGCGGGGAGCCCAUCGCCGCCCCGGCGUCUGUCUCCGCUGCGGGGAGCCCAUCGCCGCCCCGGCGUCUGUCUCCGCUGCGGGGAGCCCAUCGCCGCCCCGGCGUCUGUCUCCGCUGCGGGGAGCCCAUCGCCGCCCCGGCGUCUGUCUCCGCUGCGGGGAGCCCAUCGCCGCCCCGGCGUCUGUCUCCGCUGCGGGGAGCCCAUCGCCGCCCCGGCGUCUGUCUCCGCUGCGGGGAGCCCAUCGCGGCUCUGGCGUCUCUCUCCGCUGCGGGGAGCCCAUCGCCGCCCCGGCGUCUCUCUCCGCUGCGGGGAGCCCAUCGCGGCUCUGGCGUCUCUCUCCGCUGCGGGGAGCCCAUCGCCGCCCCGGCGUCUCUCUCCGCUGUGGGAAGCGCAUCGCCGCCCCGGCAUCUCUCUCCGCUGCGGGAAGCCCAUCUCUGGGCUGCGCUGCUUCCUGUUCUGCCGCCCUUUGCUUUCUGGCCGCGAUUCCACUGAAUGUGAUCACUGAAAAGGUGGGAUUUGCGUCCACUGUUUUACCAGUUGUUUUCUCUAUGGCUUGUAUCUGUUUUGUUUCUUUACUCUUCUUUUACUGCCUACUUUUAUGUUAAACAGAUAUUUCAUUUAUACAAUUUUAAUUAUUUUGAUGUUUCUUUUACUCCUUUUUAAUUUACUUGCUCAGUGGUUGUUCUGGAGAAUGUAAUUAAAAUCGUAUCUUAAAGCAAACUACUGCAAAUUAAUACCAAAUUAAUCUCCAUAGUAUGCAAUAAUGCGGUUAUUAAACAAAAUUGGUUAACAACUUUG